rnacentral:rRNA from 1 species
UAGGGAAUCUUCCGCAAUGGACGCAAGUCUGACGGAGCAACGCCGCGUGAGUGAAGAAGGAUUUCGGUUCGUAAAACUCUGUUGUUAGAGAAGAACAGCGCAUAGAGUAACUGUUAUGCGUGUGACGGUAUCUAACCAGAAAGCCACGGCUAACUACGUGCCAGCAGCCGCGGUAAUACGUAGGUGGCAAGCGUUGUCCGGAUUUAUUGGGCGUAAAGCGAGCGCAGGCGGUCAAUUAAGUCUGAUGUGAAAGCCCCCGGCUCAACCGGGGAGGGUCAUUGGAAACUGGUUGACUUGAGUGCAGAAGAGGAGAGUGAAAUUCCAUGUGUAGCGGUGAAAUGCGUAGAUAUAUGGAGGAACACCAGUGGCGAGGGCGACUCUCUGGUCUGUAACUGACGCUGAGGCUCGAAAGCGUGGGUAGCAAACAGG